rfam:Toxocara canis scaffold434, whole genome shotgun sequence.
GUGGCGAUAGCUCUGUGGUAGAGCUUCCGCCUUCUAGGCGGGAAGACCUGGGUUCGAUUGCCGGAUGCUUUU